rnacentral:tRNA from 1 species
GCGGGCAUCGUAUAAUGGCUAUUACCUCAGCCUGCUAAGCUGAUGAUGCGGGUUCGAUUCCCGCUGCCCGCUCCA